UUCUAGACUUUAAUUUGAUUUAAUUUGAAUGCAUAUGCUUCUUUUAUAAAUUGAUCUAAGAUUUCAUGUGUGUAUCUUGGUCUAAAUAAUUUUUUCUUGUGCCUUCUGGUGUGCAAUUCUGCUAAUGUCUGACUAUGACUAUCCAUUUGGUUUAUUUAUAUUAUAGUGUGUCAGUAUUCAACAAUCACUUAUUCAUGUUGUCUUAGUCUUUGUUUUAGUGCCAUUCUGCAAAUAGAUGUAGUUUGCCAUUUGCAAUGACACAUUCUCAUGCAAUUUUACCCUAUAGUCAAGACAGAAUAAAUAUUUUGAUUUUCUAUUUAAACUGUUGACUCACUGAGCCAAAAUGAAGAUGACUGGUCAAGAAGAGAGUACAUUUCUUGUUUUUAUUAGAUCGUCAUUCAGUAAGAGUGUGGUUGUGCAUUGGCAUCGCAUCAUAUUCUCCCGAUACAUUUGUGUAUGGCAUGUUGAUUAUAAUCUGACAUACUCUAGCAUUGGCAAAGACCCCUUUUGCCCAACUUGCCUUGGCAUGCUUUUAGAUCUUUCCGACCAUUUAAGCCAUUCUGAUUAGCAUGAAAAUCCUGUCCUACUAUAUCCAAACGUUAAUUUGAGUUGAGAACUAAGUUGGCAAAACACCUCUUUGAUGAAACAGAAAAUAUUUUAGUCUAUGCUCACCAAUAAAGCGUGUAGAUGAAAUAUCAAGGAAUUAGACUUUGAAGGAUCAGGGAUCUAUGUAGAUUUUGUUUUCAUGUGUUUUUAACAUGCAAGUGGUAUAAAAUGAUGUUCUAGAGCUUCUUUUGGACAUUUUGAAAGUUGGUUUAGUUAAGGCUACAACUUCUAUAGUGUUUUUUGGAGUUCAAUUGAUUCCCUGCCUGAUUAUUGAGCUAACCAAAAUUUAUAGUUAAUUGAAGUUUGAUCAAUAACUUGCCUCCUUAAUUGGCCUGUCCUAAAAACCAGCUAUAUUCUCAGUCAGCUACAGAUGUUUGUUGCCUAUAGAGAUUCUCGAAAAGAAAACUUAAUUGACGUUCUUCUGAGAACAAAGAGGAGGAAAGAGGCAGGCCCUUGCCGAAGUUUGGCGAGUGGGAUGUCAACGAUCCUGCUUCCGCAGAGGGGUUCACUGUGAUCUUCAACAAAGCACGUGAUGAGAAGAAAACUGGUGCGAAUACACGUGAAACGGACUCUCCGGCUAAGGAGGAUCCAAAUUUUAAACCUGGAACUUAUUCUUCCAGGUCACCUUCUAGGAAAUGGUUUUGCUGCAUUCAAGGAUCCACAGAACCUUAGAGAUGGUUGGAUGCUUGUCACAUAGAAGUUACGGAAUCAAAAUUUUUCCCUUGGUUUGUGGCAUUUUCAAGUGGCAGGUAGCAAUAACCAUCUUAACAGUUGAUGUCUGAUGGUUAGAGUGAGCAUGGUGU